rnacentral:rRNA from 1 species
UACGUAGGGUGCAAGCGUUGUCCGGAGUUAUUGGGCGUAAAGAGCUCGUAGGCGGUCUGUCGCGUCUGCUGUGAAAACUCGGGGCUUAACCCCGGGCCUGCAGUGGGUACGGGCAGACUAGAGUGCGGUAGGGGAGACUGGAAUUCCUGGUGUAGCGGUGAAAUGCGCAGAUAUCAGGAGGAACACCGGUGGCGAAGGCGGGUCUCUGGGCCGAUACUGACGCUGAGGAGCGAAAGCGUGGGGAGCAAACAGG